AUACCCCGGGAACUGGGGAUAAUACCGGAUAAGUCAGGGCUACUGGAAAGUGCUCUGGCCGAAAGCUCCGGCGCCCCUGGAUGUGUCUGCGACCUAUCAGGUAGACGCCGGCGUAACGUACCGGCGUGCCGCUAACGGGUACGGGUUGUGGGAGCAAGAGCCCGGAGAUGGAUUCUGAGACACGAAUCCAGGCCCUACGGGGCGCAGCAGGCGCGAAAACUCUACAAUGCAGGCAACUGCGAUAGGGGGACAUCGAGUGGCGCUCGGAACGAGCGUCUGUCCGGCUGCCUAAAAAGCAGCCGAGAGCAAGGGCCGGGCAAGACCGGUGCCAGCCGCCGCGGUAAUACCGGCGGCUCGAGUGGUGGCCGAUAUUAUUGAGUCUAAAGGGUCCGUAGCCGGCUUUGCAAGUCUUUUGGGAAAUCCAGCGGCUUAACCGUUGGUCGUCCGGGAGAUACUACAUUGCUUGGGACUGGGAGAGGUAGGAGGUACUCAGGGGGUAGGAGUGAAAUCCUGUAAUCCUUUGGGGACCACCGGUGGCGAAGGCGUCCUACCAGAACAGGUCCGACGGUGAGGGACGAAAGCUAGGGGCACGAACCGGAUUAGAUACCCGGGUAGUCCUAGCCGUAAACGAUGCUCGCUAGGUGUCACAACAAUCGUGAAUUGUUGUGGUGCCGUAGGAAGCCGUGAAGCGAGCCACUUGGGAAGUACGACCGCAAGGUUGAAACUUAAGAU
rnacentral:rRNA from 1 species